GAUAGUACACAUAAGUUGAGCUUUGGAGGAAGCAUAUGCGUGGCAGCCUUGUAACAAGGUGAUGACUCCAUGGCAGGCAGCGUUCUUCCAGGCUCUGCACCCUCGCAGGCUCGCACCCAUUUGCCGAUUCGUUCCAACCGACGGUUCACCGUGCCGAGGAAACGAAAGGGAGAUGCUCGAAACCGCCUCUCACUUUGAAGAACCCGUCGCUGUUGGCUGACCGAAGAAAUUUCGAUAUUUGACACUGAAUUCGCAGGCUCAAUUCGCAUGCCCACUACGAAUUCUUUCGAUACGAGGGAUUCUCUCCCCUUUUCUAUAUUUCACUUCCUUUUCUUAUUCUUUUUAUUUCACAGUCCUACCGCAAUGAUUGUUUUGCCCCCUUUGCCUUAUCUCCUCGUUGAACCUAGCGGCACUCCUCGCUCCGCCCAGCGAUGCUGCCGCCGCCUGAAGCGCCGGCGAGGCCCCUCCGCUGCACCUUAGCCUUGCCCCUUCCGUUUUCGGUCGUUACCGCUCUGCUGUGCGCCGCGCUCUGCUGUGCGCCGCGCUCUGCUGCUAUCUGGCACGGCCUCCUGCAUCUCCCGCUUCCUCCUGAUGCCAUGGUGCAGCAUGCCGCACGGGCUCAACCGCAAAAGCACGUGUAGCAAGGAGUUCAGGUGCCAAUCCGAUCCAAUUGCAUGUGCAGGUGCCACCGUGCUAGGCGAUUGAGGAUUUGGAAUUGAAUAUUUGUUCCAAUUUCAUCCUAUUACAGGUGCCCAUUUCUUCCAAUUGCAUUAUCAGGUGCUAGACAAUUUGAGGAUUUUGGAAUGAAUUGGAGUUCUUGGGCGACAUCUGUACUUUUCUAUUCUUGAGCGAGAGAUGGGGCACGGGAUAACGGGAGAGAGCCAGAGAGGGAAUGAGACGUGGUCAGGAGGCGUGAUCUAAUAGGUAGGGAACAUAAGGCAGAGUUAACUUAUCCAUUCACUAAUACUGGAAAAUGAAAAGGAAAUAAAAUGGAGAAAAGUGGAGAGAAUUUCUUGAAUCAAAAGAAUUAGCAGUCGGAGGAUUAUAUUUAUUUUGAAAGGUACGUGAAUUGAGGGUCAAAAUAAGUGAGGGCUGCGGAUUCGAUGUCAAAUAUCGAAAUUCCUCGGCUGACCGGUUCGUUCACUUCCUCCGGCUCGUGCUGAUGGAGAGGCGCUCGAGGCUCCGGAACGUGGUGUUGUUCCGCGAGCCGGAGCCCCCCCCUCCCCUCCCCGGCGCCGCGCCCCGGGCCACGGGGGAGCGCGGGGACGACCUGCUGUUCUCGGCGCCGCCCGAGUGGUGGAGCCUCUGCGCGGUGGACGGGCGCC
rnacentral:lncRNA from 1 species